AAGAAUUUAGGAACGGAGGGA
rnacentral:miRNA from 1 species